GAUGAACGCUGGCGGCGUGCCUAAUACAUGCAAGUCGAGCGAACAGACGAGGAGCUUGCUCCUCUGACGUUAGCGGCGGACGGGUGAGUAACACGUGGAUAACCUACCUAUAAGACUGGGAUAACUUCGGGAAACCGGAGCUAAUACCGGAUAACAUGCUGAACCGCAUGGUUCAACAGUGAAAGACGGUCUUGCUGUCACUUAUAGAUGGAUCCGCGCCGCAUUAGCUAGUUGGUAAGGUAACGGCUUACCAAGGCAACGAUGCGUAGCCGACCUGAGAGGGUGAUCGGCCACACUGGAACUGAGACACGGUCCAGACUCCUACGGGAGGCAGCAGUAGGGAAUCUUCCGCAAUGGGCGAAAGCCUGACGGAGCAACGCCGCGUGAGUGAAGAAGGUCUUCGGAUCGUAAAGCUCUGUUAUUAGGGAAGAACAAAUGUGUAAGUAACUAUGCACGUCCUGACGGUACCUAAUCAGAAAGCCACGGCUAACUACGUG
rnacentral:rRNA from 1 species